rnacentral:rRNA from 1 species
CGCUGGCGGCGUGCCUAAUACAUGCAAGUCGAACGAUGAAGCUUCUAGCUUGCUAGAAGUGGAUUAGUGGCGCACGGGUGAGUAAUGCAUAGGUAACAUGCCCUUUAGUCUGGGAUAGCCACUGGAAACGGUGAUUAAUACUAGAUAUUCCCUACGGGGGAAAGUUUUUCGCUAAAGGAUUGGCCUAUGUCCUAUCAGCUUGUUGGUGAGGUAAUGGCUCACCAAGGCUAUGACGGGUAUCCGGCCUGAGAGGGUGAUCGGACACACUGGAACUGAGACACGGUCCAGACUCCUACGGGAGGCAGCAGUAGGGAAUAUUGCUCAAUGGGGGAAACCCUGAAGCAGCAACGCCGCGUGGAGGAUGAAGGUUUUCGGAUUGUAAACUCCUUUUGUUAGAGAAGAUAAUGACGGUAUCUAACGAAUAAGCACCGGCUAACUCCGUGCCAGCAGCCGCGGUAAUACGGAGGGUGCAAGCGUUACUCGGAAUCACUGGGCGUAAAGAGCGCGUAGGCGGGGUAGCAAGUCAGAUGUGAAAUCCUAUGGCUUAACCAUAGAACUGCAUUUGAAACUGUUACUCUAGAGUAUGGGAGAGGUAGGUGGAAUUCUUGGUGUAGGGGUAAAAUCCGUAGAGAUCAAGAGGAAUACUCAUUGCGAAGGCGACCUGCUGGAACAUUACUGACGCUGAUGCGCGAAAGCGUGGGGAGCAAACAGGAUUAGAUACCCUGGUAGUCCACGCCCUAAACGAUGAAUGCUAGUUGUUGUGAGGCUUGUCCUUGCAGUAAUGCAGCUAACGCAUUAAGCAUUCCGCCUGGGGAGUACGGUCGCAAGAUUAAAACUCAAAGGAAUAGACGGGGACCCGCACAAGCGGUGGAGCAUGUGGUUUAAUUCGAAGAUACGCGAAGAACCUUACCUAGGCUUGACAUUGAUAGAAUCUACUAGAGAUAGUGGAGUGCCCUUUUAGGGAGCUUGAAAACAGGUGCUGCACGGCUGUCGUCAGCUCGUGUCGUGAGAUGUUGGGUUAAGUCCCGCAACGAGCGCAACCCUCGUCCUUAGUUGCUAGCAGUUCGGCUGAGCACUCUAAGGAGACUGCCUUCGUAAGGAGGAGGAAGGUGAGGACGACGUCAAGUCAUCAUGGCCCUUACGCCUAGGGCUACACACGUGCUACAAUGGGGUGCACAAAGAGAUGCAAUACUGUGAAGUGGAGCCAAUCUCAAAAACAUCUCUCAGUUCGGAUUGUAGUCUGCAACUCGACUACAUGAAGCUGGAAUCGCUAGUAAUCGUGAAUCAGCCAUGUCACGGUGAAUACGUUCCCGGGUCUUGUACUCACCGCCCGUCACACCAUGGGAGUUGUAUUCGCCUUAAGUCGGAAUACUAA